rnacentral:lncRNA from 1 species
GACCGCAGCUGUCAGCAGUGGAGGAAGCUGACUAUUAAGGGGAAAUAAGUGUUAUUAGGAGUCCCGCUGUCACUGUGGAUUGAGCCUGCAUCCUGAGCCCUGAGGCUGUCUCCGGUGGUGGCCCUCCUCCUCCUCCCUCGGUAGGGAUGGAUAGAGGAAGCAGCUAGAGGCCUUGGCAGUGAGGACCCCUAAGG